rnacentral:rRNA from 1 species
CUACGGGCUGCAGCAGUAGGGAAUUUUCGGCAAUGGGGGAAACCCUGACCGAGCAAUGCCGCGUGAAUGAAGAAGGCCUUCGGGUUGUAAAGUUCUGUUAAUGGGAAAGAAUGGUUGGUGUAGGAAAUGACACUAAUUUGACGGUACCCGUUUAGAAAGCCCCGGCUAAAUACGUGCCAGCAGCCGCGGUAAUACGUAGGGGGCGAGCGUUAUCCGGAAUUAUUGGGCGUAAAGAGUGCGUAGGCGGUUUAUUAAGUCAGUCGUAAAAGAUCUCAGCCUAACUGAGUAGGGCGAUUGAAACUGGUAGACUUGAGUAUGGUAGAGGUAAGUGGAAUUCCAUGUGUAGCGGUGGAAUGCGUAGAUAUAUGGAGGAACACCAAUGGCGAAGGCAGCUUACUGGGCCAGAACUGACGCUGAGGCACGAAAGCGUGGGGAGCAAACAGGAUUAGAUACCCCGGUAGUC